rnacentral:lncRNA from 1 species
CCUUGACUGUGUUGUUCAGUGCCCUCACAAAGCCAGAUAGAAUCCACAAGCCACCCCAGCUGAGCUCUGUGCUCGCGGCUAAAGCUUUGCUGGAUAAAGAUGCUUCUUCAAGUCUUACAGUAAAAACCCUGCUCCUUCCAUCACAUGGUUGUAAGGAAGUUUAUUUUUAAACCUCACAACGGCAGGUCAAAGUGGUGGUAACAUUGCUAAAAAUAAUGUUGGUGUUGAAGUGAUAUCUUGGAAAACUGAUAUCCCACAAUCCUGAUGCUGCUCUGCCCACCAUUCGAGAGGUAUUGGAUUCCUCCAGCAGGCCUGGCUGUAGGGAGGAGUGGUCCUUAUUCUAAAAUGGAUUAAAUUGUUGACUUGUUGGAAAGGUGGCAUCCUAUGACGGUGCCCCGUUGAAAGAGUGUAUGGGGACAAUGACCCAACACACCUCCAGGCUGUGGAAUGGCAAUUUGACCAAGAAAGAGAGUGAUGGAGUGCUGCAUCAGAUGACCUGACCUCCACAAUCACCCAACCUCAACCCAAUUGAGAUGGUUUGGGAUGAGUUGGACCGCAGAGUGAAGGAAAAGCAGCCAACAAGUGCUCAGCAUAUGUGGGAACUCCUUCAAGACUGUUGUAAAAACAUUCCAGGUGAAGCUGGUUGAGAGAAUGACAAGAGUGUGCAAAGCUGUCAUCAAGGCAAAGGGUGGCUAUUUUGAAGAAUCUCAAAUAUAAAAUAUGUUUUGAUUUGUUUAAUACUUUUUUGGUUACUACAUGAUUCCAUAUGUGUUAUUUCAUAGUAUUGAUGUCUUCUGGGCAGCUCGUGGCUGGGCUUCCUUUUGUAAU